UAUUGUUAACAGGAAGAUGAUAUCGAGAUCUCAAGUGGAUAGUCAGAAAACACUAGGCAAGAAGGUAUCAAAGGCGGGGCUGUCUCCGCGCUAAGCAAGGCUCCUAAGUCUGAGGAGAAAGAGGUGAACUGAUUGUACUACGCCGCAUGUCGAAGAAAAAGAAAAAUUGAAAAUAUGUAGAAGAUGCUUAAACUAUUUUUUAGUGUACCUCUAGAAGAUUUUGAUAUAAGUUGCAAUAAUAUAUACUCUGAAUUUAAA